GCAGCCUGAUGCAGCGACGCCGCGUGAGGGAUGACGGCCUUCGGGUUGUAAACCUCUUUCAAUAGGGACGAAGCGCAAGUGACGGUACCUAUAGAAGAAGCACCGGCCAACUACGUGCCAGCAGCCGCGGUAAUACGUAGGGUGCGAGCGUUGUCCGGAAUUACUGGGCGUAAAGAGCUCGUAGGUGGUUUGUCGCGUUGUUCGUGAAAACUCACAGCUCAACUGUGGGCGUGCGGGCGAUACGGGCAGACUGGAGUACUGCAGGGGAGACUGGAAUUCCUGGUGUAGCGGUGGAAUGCGCAGAUAUCAGGAGGAACACCGGUGGCGAAGGCGGGUCUCUGGGCAGUAACUGACGCUGAGGAGCGAAAGCGUGGGGAGCGAACAGGAUUAGAUACCCUGGUAGUCCACGCCGUAAACGGUGGGUACUAGGUGUGGGUUUCCUUCCUUGGGAUCCGUGCCGUAGCUAACGCAUUAAGUACCCCGCCUGGGGAGUACGGCCGCAAGGCUAAAACUCAAAGAAAUUGACGGGGGCCCGCACAAGCGGCGGAGCAUGUGGAUUAAUUCGAUGCAACGCGAAGAACCUUACCUGGGUUUGACAUGCACAGGACGUGCCUAGAGAUAGGUAUUCCCUUGUGGCCUG
rnacentral:rRNA from 1 species